rnacentral:rRNA from 1 species
UACGGAGGAUCCAAGCGUUUAUCCGGAUUUAUUGGGUUUAAAGGGUGCGUAGGCGGCUUAUUAAGUCAGGGGUGAAAGACGGUGGCUCAACCAUCGCAGUGCCUUUGAUACUGAUGAGCUUGAAUACACUUGAGGUAGGCGGAAUGUGACAAGUAGCGGUGAAAUGCAUAGAUAUGUCACAGAACACCAAUUGCGAAGGCAGCUUACUAAGGUGCAAUUGACGCUGAGGCACGAAAGCGUGGGGGAUCAAACAGG